UCGAGAAUCUUCCGCAAUGGGCGAAAGCCUGACGGAGCGACACCGCGUGCAGGACGAAGGCCUUCGGGUUGUAAACUGCUGUCACGCUAUAGGAGCCCCGGAUCGUUAAUACCGAUCCGGUCGACUAAAGCGAGAGGAAGUGGCGGCUAACUCUGUGCCAGCAGCCGCGGUAAGACAGAGGCCACGAACGUUGUUCGGAAUUACUGGGCAUAAAGCGCACGUAGGCGGCUAGGUCCGUCCGAUGUGAAAUACCCCGGCUCAACCGGGGAACUGCAUCGGAUACAGCCUGGCUUGAGGAUGGUUGGGGUGAGUGGAACUCCUGGUGGAGCGGUGAAAUGCGUAGAUAUCAGGAGGAACACCGGUGGCGAAAGCGGCUCACUGGACCAUUACUGACGCUGAG
rnacentral:rRNA from 1 species